UGGUUCUGGCAUCGAUGAAGAACGCAGCGAAAUGCGAUAAGUAAUGUGAAUUGCAGAAUUCAGUGAAUCAUCGAAUCUUUGAACGCACAUUGCGCCCGCUAGUAUUCUGGCGGGCAUGCCUGUUCGAGCGUCCUCAAAAACCCUCGGGCCUUGGAGACCUGUUCUCCGGUGGCCCGGUGCUGGGGCGUCGCGGCAGCCGCGACCCCCUAAAUGCAGUGGCGGACCCCCCCGUGGCCCUGGCGUAUUAGCGUAAAAACUAGCCUUCGGCAACCGAGGUGGCCCUGCCCCCAAAUCCACGCUCAUAAAUUUGGACCUCGAAUCAGGUAGGAAUACCCGCUGA
rnacentral:misc_RNA from 1 species